GAGUUUGAUCCUGGCUCAGGACGAACGCUGGCGGCGUGCCUAACACAUGCAAGUCGAACGGAGUUAAAUUCGACACCCGAGUAUCCGGCCGGGGGGCGGGGUGCUGGGGGUUGGAUUUAACUUAGUGGCGGACGGGUGAGUAACGCGUGAGUAACCUGCCUUUCAGAGGGGGAUAACGUUCUGAAAAGAACGCUAAUACCGCAUAACAUCAAUUUAUCGCAUGAUAGGUUGAUCAAAGGAGCAAUCCGCUGGAAGAUGGACUCGCAUCCGAUUAGCCAGUUGGCGGGGUAACGGCCCACCAAAGCGACGAUCGGUAGCCGGACUGAGAGGUUGAACGGCCACAUUGGGACUGAGACACGGCCCAGACUCCUACGGGAGGCAGCAGUGGGGGAUAUUGCACAAUGGGGGAAACCCUGAUGCAGCAACGCCGCGUGAGGGAAGAAGGUUUUCGGAUUGUAAACCUCUGUUCUUAGUGACGAUAAUGACGGUAGCUAAGGAGAAAGCUCCGGCUAACUACGUGCCAGCCGCCGCGGUAAUUC
rnacentral:rRNA from 1 species